rnacentral:rRNA from 1 species
UCGAGAAUCAUUCGCAAUGGGCGAAAGCCUGACGAUGCGACGCCGUGUGAGCGAUGAAGGCCUUAGGGUCGUAAAGCUCUUUCGCUUGGGAACAAGAGAAGCUGGCUAAUAUCCAGCAAAUUUGAGUGUACCAGGUAAAGAAGCACCGGCUAACUCCGUGCCAGCAGCUGCGGUAAUACGGAGGGUGCAAGCAUUAAUCGGAUUUAUUGGGCGUAAAGGGCGCGUAGGCGGGGAUGUAAGUCAGAUGUGAAAUCCCGGGGCUCAACCUCGGAACAGCAUUUGAAACUGCAUUUCUUGAGGAUAGGCGGAGAAAACGGAAUUCCACAAGUAGCGGUGAAAUGCGUAGAUAUGUGGAAGAACACCAGUGGCGAAGGCGGUUUUCUAGCUUAUACCUGACGCUGAGGCGCGAAAGCAAGGGGAUCAAACAGGAUUAGAUACCCGUGUAGUCC